rnacentral:rRNA from 1 species
UACGUAGGGGGCAAGCGUUGUCCGGAAUCAUUGGGCGUAAAGAGCGUGUAGGCGGUUCGGUAAGUCCGCUGUGAAAGUCGGGGGCUCAACCCUCGGAUGCCGGUGGAUACUGUCGGGCUAGAGUGCGGAAGAGGCGAGUGGAAUUCCUGGUGUAGCGGUGAAAUGCGCAGAUAUCAGGAGGAACACCAAUUGCGAAGGCAGCUCGCUGGGACGUGACUGACGCUGAGACGCGAAAGCGUGGGGAGCAAACAGG